rnacentral:rRNA from 1 species
CAAUCGAACUCGGAGAUAGCUGGUUCUCCCCGAAAUAGCUUUAGGGCUAGCGUCGGAUAUGUGUAGUGGAGGUAGAGCACUGAAUGGGCUAGGGGGCAUAUCGCUUACCGAACCUUAUCAAACUCCGAAUGCCAUAUACAUUAAGUCCGGCAGUCAGACUACGAAUGAUAAGAUCCGUGGUCAAAAGGGAAACAGCCCAGAUCGUCAGCUAAGGUCCCAAAGUGUAAGUUAAGUGGAAAAGGAUGUGGGAUUUCUAAGACAACUAGGAUGUUGGCUUAGAAGCAGCCACUCAUUUAAAGAGUGCGUAAUAGCUCACUAGUCGAGAGAUCCUGCGCCGAAAAUGUCCGGGGCUCAAACUUACCACCGAAGCUACGGGCUUGCGUAAGCAAGCGGUAGGGGAGCGUCGUAAUCGGGCUGAAGUCGUACCGUAAGGAGCGGUGGACUGAUUACGAGUGAGAAUGUUGGCAUUAGUAGCGAGAUGUAGGUGAGAAUCCUACAGGCCGAAUAUCUAAGGUUUCCUCAGGAAGGCUCGUCCGCUGAGGGUUAGUCGGGACCUAAGCCGAGGCCGAAAGGCGUAGGUGAUGGACAAUCGGUUGAUAUUCCGAUACCACUACCAUCGUUAUUAUCGAGGGUGUGACGGAGAAGGAUAGUGUGUGCUAGCGAUUGGAAAUGCUAGUCUAAGCGUUUAGGGAGUUACGGUAGGCAAAUCCGCUGUAACAAUUCUGAGGCGUGAUGGGGAAGGUCAUUAAGACCGAAGUACAUGAUUCCAUGCUUCCAAGAAAAGCAUCUAGAGAGAGAAGUAGUGCCCGUACCGCAAACCGACACAGGUAGAUGAGGAGAGAAUCCUAAGGCCGGCGGAAGAAUUGCAGUUAAGGAACUAGGCAAAUUGACCCCGUAAGUUCGCGAGAAGGGGUGCCUGCGAGAGCAGGCCGCAGAGAAUAGGCCCAAGCAACUGUUUAGCAAAAACACAGGUCUCUGCUAAAGCGUAAGCUGAUGUAUAGGGGCUGACGCCUGCCCGGUGCUGGAAGGUUAAGGGGAACACUUAGCGCAAGCGAAGGUGUGAACUUAAGCCCCAGUAAACGGCGGCCGUAACUAUAACGGUCCUAAGGUAGCGAAAUUCCUUGUCAGGUAAGUUCUGACCCGCACGAAUGGCGUAAUGACUUGGGCACUGUCUCAACUGCAAAUCCGGCGAAGUUGUAGUGCGAGUGAAGAUGCUCGCUACCCGCGAUUGGACGGAAAGACCCCGUAGAGCUUUACUGUAGCUUAGCAUUGAAUUCCGGUAUUGUCUGUACAGGAUAGGUGGGAGACUGGGAAACUAGGGCGUCAGCCUUAGUGGAGUCAACCUUGGGAUACCACCCUGACAGUACUGGGGUUCUAACAGGACGCCAUGAAACUGGUGACUGGACAUUGUUAGGUGGGCAGUUUGACUGGGGCGGUCGCCUCCUAAAAAGUAACGGAGGCGCCCAAAGGUUCCCUCAGAACGGUCGGAAAUCGUUCGUAGAGUGCAAAGGCAAAAGGGAGCUUGACUGCGAGACCUACAAGUCGAGCAGGGACGAAAGUCGGGCUUAGUGAUCCGGUGGUUCCGCAUGGAAGGGCCAUCGCUCAACGGAUAAAAGCUACCCUGGGGAUAACAGGCU